rnacentral:rRNA from 1 species
UCAUGGAAUAAUACAAAGUCAAAAAAUACGAACUACAGUUUAAAACUUAAAGAUUUUGGCGGUGUCUUAUCGAACCAGGGGAACCUGUCUCGUAACUCGAUAAUCCACGAAUACCCUACCCUAUCUAGAUCAAACAGCUUGUGUACUGCCGUCAUAAGCACACCUCUAAGAGUAUAAAGUGUGCAAUAAUGAUUAUUCUCAUAUAUGUCAGGUCAAAGUGCAGCUUAUGAAAGGGAGAUGAUGGGUUACACCCUAUAUAAAGAUACCAAUUUUAGUAUUAAAAGCUAAAUGAAGGUGGACUUGGACGUAAUUAUAAUUCAAUGUUAUAGUGAAAACGAAUCUAAGACAUGUACACAUCGCCCGUCACUCUCGCCUAAAGGCG